rnacentral:tRNA from 1 species
GGCCCCAUCGUCUAGCGGCCCAGGACAUUGCCCUUUCACGGCAAGAACAGGAGUUCGAAUCUCCUUGGGGUCA